rnacentral:rRNA from 1 species
GACGAACGCUGGCGGCGUGCUUAACACAUGCAAGUCGAACGAGGUCCAAGGGGUGGUAACACCCCGGAAGACCUAGUGGCGAACGGGUGAGUAACACGUGAGCAACCUGCCCUGGAGACCGGGAUAACUCGGGGAAACUCGAGCUAAUACCGGAUGUCCUCAUCUGAUCUCCUGAUCGGGUGAGGAAAUGGAUUCCGCUCCAGGAGGGGCUCGCGGCCUAUCAGCUUGUUGGUGGGGUAAUGGCCUACCAAGGCUC